GACGAACCGUGCAAACGUUAUUCGGAAUCACUGGGCUUAAAGGGCGCGUAGGCGGGCGGGCAAGUCUAGGGUGAAAGCCCCCAGCUUAACUGGGGAAGUGCCUUGGAUACUGCUCGUCUGGAGGGAGGUAGGGGCGUGCGGAACUUCCGGUGGAGCGGUGAAAUGCGUAGAUAUCGGAAGGAACACCGAUGGCGAAAGCAGCGCGCUGGACCUCUUCUGACGCUGAGGCGCGAAAGCCAGGGGAGCAAACGGG
rnacentral:rRNA from 1 species